GACGAACGCUGGCGGCGUGCUUAGCACAUGCAAGUCGAACGGAAAGGCCCUGCUUUUGUGGGGUACUCGAGUGGCGAACGGGUGAGUAACACGUGAGUAACCUGCCCUUGACUUUGGGAUAACUUCAGGAAACUGGGGCUAAUACCGGAUAGGAGCUCCUGCUGCAUGGUGGGGGUUGGAAAGUUUCGGCGGUUGGGGAUGGACUCGCGGCUUAUCAGCUUGUUGGUGGGGUAGUGGCUUACCAAGGCUUUGACGGGUAGCCGGCCUGGGAGGGUGACCGGCGACAUUGGGACUGAGAGACGGAGCAGACUCCUACGGGAGGCAGCAGUGGGGAAUAUUGCACAGUGGGCGGAAGCCUGAUGCGGCAACGCCGCGUGCGUGAUGACGUCCUUCGGGUUGUAAACCGCUUUCGCCUGUGACGAAGCGUGAGUGACGGUAAUGGGUAAAGAAGCACCGGCUAACUACGUG
rnacentral:rRNA from 1 species